GCUUUUAUCCAAGGAGCUCAGAGUCUUUUACAGCAGAUAUUACUUACUUUUAUAGAGCUUCAAAGGUGUCAUCAAAUGAAGAUGAGGUCAUGCUGGAUGAUGGUGGGCCCUCAAUCCAAUAUGAGUAGUGUUCAUUAAAGAAGAAAAAAAAUUGGACCUAAAGAUACAGAAAAACAGGAAGAAGACCACAUGAUGAUGGGGGCAGAAAUUGGAGUGUGCAGCUCCAAAUCAAGGAACACCAAGGAUUGCUGCUGCCACCGGAAGCCAGGGGAGAAGCAUGGAAUGGGUUCUGCCUGAGACCCUCCAGAAGGACCCAAUCCUAUCAUCAUCUUGAUUUCAGACUUCUGGCCUCCUGAACUACAAAAGAAUAAAUUUCUGUUGUUUUAAACCACCUGGUUUAAGGUACAUUUUUUAUGGCAGCCUGAGGAACUAACACAAUUUGUG
rnacentral:lncRNA from 1 species